rnacentral:lncRNA from 1 species
GUGAACACAAUGCAAUCUAUACAGAAACUGAAAUAUAAUAAUGUACACCCAAAGUUUACACUAUGUUAUAAGCCAAUAUGACUCAAAGAAAUAAAAAACUAAAAAAAUUUUUUUAAAGCCAGUAUUAUUGAAUUCUGAGAUUGUAACUCUCUUUUUAUUUCCAUAUGAUUUAUAAGACAAAUUCAAAAAAUAAUUACAUAUAUAUGUUAACAGCACACAAUGUAAAAAAAAAAAAAAGAUGUAAUUUCUGACAAUAACUACUUAAAGGGGAGAGGAGGAAUAUAAGUGCAGAGUUUGAUAUACAGGCAUACCUCAGAGAUAUUGCAGGUUUGGUUCCAGGCCACCACAAUAAAGCAAAUAUCACAAUAAAGUGAGUCACACGAAUUUUUUGGUUUCCCAGUGCAUACAAAAGUUAUGUUUAGGGACAGCCUGGUCGUGUAGUCAUUAAGUUCACCGUGCUCCACUUCAGUGGCCAAGGGUUUGCUGGUUCUGGUCCUUGGCAGGGGCCUACACACCCCUCAUCAAGCCAUGCUGUGGUGGCAUCCCACAUAGAAGACGUAGAGGGACUUACAACUAGGAUAUACAACUAUGUACUGGGGCUUUGCGGAGAAAAAUAGAAGAUGAAGAUUGGCAACAGCUGUUAGAUCAGGGCCACUCUUCCUCACCAAAAGAGCAUAAAAAACAAUGUGAGAUAGUAAUACCUGUUGUUUAGAAAAAAAUGUUAUGUUUAUACUAUACUGUAGUCUAUUAAGCAUGCAAUAAGAUUAUGUCUAAAAAAACUAUGUACAUACCUUAACUUAAAAAUACUUUGCUAAAAAAUACUAACCAUCAUCUGAGCCUUCAGCAAGUUAUAAUCUUUCUGCUAGCAGAGAGUCUUGCCUCCACAUUGACGGCUGCUGACUCAUCAAGGUGGUGGUUGCUGAAGGUUGGGUGGCUGUGUCAAUUUCUUAAAAUAAGACAACAAUGAAACUUGCCGCAUCGAUUGACUCUUCCUUUCAUGAACGAUUUCUCUGCAGCAUGCGAUGCUGUUUGAUAGCAUUUUACCCACCACAGAACUUCUUUCAAAAUCCUCUCAAGCCCUGACACUGAUUUUUCAACUAAGUUUAUGUCAUGUUCUAAAUCCUUUGUUUUCAUUUCACCAACCUUCACAGCAUCUUGACCAGGAGUAGACUCCAUCUCAAGAAACCACUUUCUUUGCUCAUCCAUAAGGGGCAGCUCCUCAUGCAUUAAAGUUUUCUCAUGAGAUGGCAGCAGUUCAGUCACGUCUUCAGCUCCACGCCUACUUCUAGUUCUCUUGCCGUUUCCACCACAUCUGCAGUUACUUCCUCCGCUGACGUCCUGAACCCCUCACAGUCAUCCCUGAGGGCUGGAAUCAACUCCUUCCAAACUCCUGUUAAUGUUGAUAUUUUGACCUUUUCCCAUGAAUCACGAAUCUUCUUAAUGGCAUCUAGAAUAGUGGAUCCUUUCCAGAGGGUUUUCAAUUUACUUCGGCAGGUCUGUCAGAGGAAUGACAAUCUAUGGCAGCUAUAGCCUUCCAAAAUGUAUUUCUUAAAUGAUAAGACUUGAAAGUCAAAAUUACUCCUUGAUGCAUGGGCUGCAGAAUGGAUGUUGUGUUAGCAGGCAUGAAAACCACAUUAAUCUCAUUGUACAUUUUUCCAUCAGAGCUCUUGGGCGACCAGGUGCACUGUCAGCAAGCGGUGAUAUUUUGAAAGGAAUCUUUUCUCCUGAGCAGUAGCUCUCAACAGUGGGCUUAAAAUAUUCAGUAAACCAAUAUGCUGUCAUCCAAGCUUUGUUGUUGCAUUUAUAGAGCACAGGCAGAGUAGAGUUAGCCUAAUUCUUAAGGGCCCUAGGAUUUUCGCAAUGGUAAAUGAACGCUGGCUUCAACUUAAAGUCAUCAGCUGCAUUAGCCCCUAAUAAAAGAGUCAGCCUGUCCUUUGAAGCUUUGGAGCCAGGCACUGACUUCUCCUCUCUAGCUGUGAAAGUCUUAGAUGGCAUCUUCUUCCAACAUAAGGUUGUUUUGUCGGGUCCAGCCCCGGGGCCAAGUGGUUAAGUUCACGAGCUCCGCUUCAGUGGCCCAGAGCUUUGCCAGUUUGGAUCCUAGGCAUGGACAUGGCACCGCUCAUCAAGCCAUGCUGAGGCGGCGUCCCACAUAGCAGAGCCAGCGGGACCUACAACUAGAAUAUACAACUACGUACUGGGAGGCUUUGGGGAGAAGAAAAAGAAGAAGGAAAAAAGAAGAUUGGCAACAGAUGUUAGCUCAGGUGCUAAUCUUAAAAAAAAAAGGUUGUUUUGUCUACACUGAAAAUCUGUUGUUUAGUGUAGCCCCCUUCAUUAAUUAUCUCAACUAGAUCUUCUGGAGAACUUGCUGCAGCUUCUACAUCAGCACUUGCUGCUUCACCUUGGACUUUUACAUUGUGGAGACGGCUUCUUUCCUUGAACCUCAUGAACCAACCUCUGCUGCCUUCACACUUUUCUUCUGCAGCUUCCUCAGCUCUCUCAGCCUUCAUAGACUUGAAGAGGGUUAGGGCCUUGCUCUGGAUUAGGUUUUGGCUUAAGGGAAUGUUGUGGCUGGUUUGAUCUUCUAUCCAGACCGCUAAAACUUUCUCCAAAUCAGCAAUAAGGCUGUUUCACUUUCUUAUAAUUCGUGUGUGCACUGGAGCAGCACAUUUAACUUCCUUCAAGAACUUUCCCUUUGCAUUCACAACUUGGCUAACUGGUGGGCACAAGAGGCCUAGCUUUCAGCCUGUCUUGGCUUUCACCUUGCUUUCCUCACUCAGCUUGAUCACUUACGGCUUUUGAUGUACAGUGAGAGAUGUGCGACUCUUCCUUUCACUUGAACAUUUGGAGGCCAUCGUAGGGUUAUUAAUUGCCCUAAUUUCAUAUUGUUCUGUCUCAAGGAACAGGGAGGCCUGAGAAGAGGGAGAAAGACAGGGGAAGGGCUGGUUGGGGGAGCAGUCAGACCAUACGCAGUAUUUAUUGUUUGCCAUCUUAUAUGGGUGCGGUUUACGGCACCCCAAAACAAUGACAAUAGUAACACCAUAGAUCACUAAUCACAAAUCACCAUAACAAAUAGAGUAAUAAUGAAAAAGUUUGAAAUACUGUGAGAAUUGUCAAAAUGUGACACAGAGACAUGAAGUGAGCAAAUGCUAUGGGGAAAAUGGUGCUGACAGACUAGCUUGUUGCAGGGUUGUCACAAAUCUUCAAUUUGUGAAAAACUCAAUAUCUGCAAAGCACAGUAAAGCAAAGCACAGGUAUAUCUGUAUUACAGAAGCUAAGCUGAUGUUAAUUCCAACUAGAUGGUUACAAAUGUAAGACGUGAAUUGUAAUCCCCAGGGUAACCACUAAGGAAAUAACUAAAAAAUAUACAGAGAAGGAAUGAGAAGGAAUUAAAACAACAUACUAGAAAAAAAUCAAUUCAACACAAAAGAAGAUCGUAAUGGAGAAAUUGAGGAACAACAACAAAAAAGACAUGUAGAACACAAAUAAUAAAAUGGCCAAAGUAACUCCUUCCUUAGCAGUAAUUACUUAAAGUGCAAAUGAAUUAAACUUUGUGUGAUGGUUAAAUUUGUGUCGGUUUGGCUGGGGCAAGAUUCUCCAGCAGGCUGUAUAUGCUCUGAAUUAGCACCCAACAUAUGAUACUGUUUCUCCCAUAGCCAGGAUUCACAGGUCCAGGAAUCAAGGGGUGGAAAUAGGAGUGGUGCCACACACUAUCACUCCUAGGUCACUCCUAGUGACCCACUAGCAAAAUUUUUGUUUCCUGUCCCCGUGACCUUAUGCUAUGCUGGCCUAGAAAUCUUAGUUCCAAAGGGAGGAACGCUUCCAAAGGAGACACAAUAGUGAUUCCAUUAAACUAGAAGUUAAGACUGUCAUCUAGCCACCCUUGGGGGUCCUCAGGCUUCUGAAUCAACAGGAAAAGAAGGGAGUUAAUGUGCUGUCUGGGGUAACUGAUCAUGACAACCAGGUAUAAAUUGGACUGCUACUUCACAAUGGAGGUAAGGAAGAGUAUUCUGGAAUCCAGAAGAUCCCUUAGGGCAUCUCUUAGUACUACCAUGCUCUUUAAUUAAAGUCAAGGGAAAAUUACAGCAACCCAAUCCAGGAGGGACUACUAAUGGCCCAGACCCUUCAGGAAUAAAGGUUUGGGUCACCCUAUCAGGGCAGUUGCUCUUGGAAGCUAGAUGUCAUACUGUGAGGAAGUUCAAUCUUCUCUGUGAAAAGAUCCAUGUGAAAGGAGCUGAAAUCCAACACCAACUUGCCAGCCACGUGAACGAGCCAUCCUAGAAGUGAGCCUUCCAGCCCCAGUUGAGCCACCUAAGCCACCAGCACGUGGAGCAGAGAUAAGCAGUCCCCAUUGAGCCCUGCCCAAAUUGCAGACUUAUAAGCAAAAUAAAUGAUUGCUGUUAUUCUAAGCCACUAAGUUUGGGAGGGGUUUGUUACACAGCAAUAGUGAGUAGAAUGGUGCUGGCGGUAUAACUUUCUGAUUUGGAGACACAACAGCUACCACUGCUCCCCAAGGAAGCAUCUCUAAUAAGUACGCCAUUAUUAGUCUCUCCAUCUCUGUCACUCCUUUUGUUAGCUUUUACCCUAGGAUUUGGUCCUUCAAUAGCUCUUUAUUAUUUACACGUUCACCUUGCCUAUCGCCUGGUUCCUUUGCCUAGGAUGGAGGCCAGUCCAUGGCCACCAGGAACAAUGUUUAUUUAGGGCUCAUCUAGGGACCUGCCUUUGUUCUAGGUCCUGGCCACCCAAUUCCAUGCCCAUGAGGGAAACUACUAAUGUCUCUGGGUGGGAGGCUUUUCGCAAAAGAUUGUCCUGCUUAAAGAACACUCUACAUGUUGACUAGUAGACAGGCAGGACCUAACCACUAGCAUGCCCUCCACUGUGGCUCACAUUCAGAAAGAACCACUGACUUAGGUAGGGUUUCCCAGAAGCAGACCGUAAGACAAAGAUUUGUGUCCCAACAUUGGACUAAGGAAGAGCUCCCAGGAGAAAACCACAAGAGAACGGGGCAAGCAGGGCAAAAACUGGGAGGAUGGCAGUCAGGGGUACAAUUUCAGACUAAACCCCCAGAGGGUGACUUUCAGCUGCCUUCUACAGGGCAAUUCUGGAGUAGAAGUCCUCCUCAGAGCUGUCCAUUUGGCAGGCAAAGGAGGUGGGCUCUCACUAUCGGCUAGGCCAUCCUGGCCCAUGGUCUGCCCUGACCAUGGGGUCUUCUUUGACUGUUCCCUGUGACACACACAUAACAUCCCCAACUCUCCUCCUGUAGCUUCACGUGACUCUUUGUCUCUAUUCUCUUGAUCCACUAUCUUUGUUGGUUUUUAUUUGGGGGCUGACUGAGUUGAAGAGUCAAAAAUUCUGCUCUUUGUGUUGAUCACUUGGCAUUCUGGUUUGGAUUUAUGUAUGAUUUGAGUUUUUCUGUUCUGGUUGUAUUUCUAUUAAACCCCUGGUUAGUGUGGAAAAAAAAAGGUGAGGGGUCAGAUCCUGGGCUGGGAGGGGGAAUGUAAAUUCCCAGGCACACCAAAGCCUCAGGAGGGCUGGGAAGGAUGCACUGAAACAGCCCAACGGAUUCUAGGGCAUAAGGGUGGUGCGUCGUGAGUGCAAAUAUCCAUCAAGUAUACUCAGUGCCCCUGGAAUUUUGGAGAAGUCUGUGAAAUUCCAUGCUAGCCUGGAUUUUCCAGAUAUGUGGCCAAACACUGGUGCCCAACCAAUGGGGCACUGGUCUUGCCAUGUAGCCCCACUCAUCUUUCCCAGUCUUGGAAGAAAAUGAAAACCGUCUUUGGGUUGUGCCAAUUCAUCAACCCUUCUUGAAGCCCUUCUUGGGCUUGAAGAUGACUGACCCCUUAGACAUCAGCUAUCAUCCUCUCAGGGGCCUUAGAGACCCAAGGGCCUGCAGCUUGACCUGACCACUUGCUGAAAGUUGAUUUAUUCUAUCUGCCACUAAGGGACACAGGUUCAUUCAAUCCCUUUGGCCUUCCUUAUGAUACACAUGCAAAUAAUCACUAACGGAGAGAAAUCUUAGGAAAGGGAAAUAAACAUUAAUAAAGAAACCCAAUGGCGCCAGCCUCUCUUUCCUGGGAUGAGGAUGGGGAAAGAUGUCCAUUUCUCUUAGUCUGUUUUUCUUAAUAAUCCUCCCUGCUCUAUAAACUUCGUGCCUGCAUUUUUGAGUAGUACAUACUAUUGCAGGAGCUAAACUCUUAGGCUAAAAUAAUAAAGAUACCACAUUUUUCUCAAAUUGUUUGCCAGAGAGAAAAUUUGCCUAAAUUUAAUAUCAAAACAUAAGAAGUUUCCCGCUGAAAAGAAUGAGUCCUAAAAAGACAUCUAGACAUUGGAUAAGGAACUCGAAACACACUUCUAAAGAAAUAAUGCAAUCGGUUGUGGUAAGGUUCCAAGUUUAGCCCACAGAAACCUAUGAAACUAAUAAUAUAACAAUGCAUUUGAAGAGUAGGAAAUAAUCAUGGAAGGUAGUAACUAAAUCACAACACAACAGAACUGGGUAGGAAAUCAUUUAUGAACUUGAGCACUGCUGCUUCAGGAAGAGCGAGUCUAAUCAGAGGAUGCAGACUGAGGACUUCUGGGACUUCUGGAUCCUUUGAGGCGUGUUAAGAAAAUUCUUACAGAAAUCUGGAGAAUUGCUUUUCUUAAAACGUACUCAUUAAAUUUACCAUUUUUUUUUUUUUUUUGCUCGGAAGAUUUGCCCUGAGCUAACAUCUGCUACCAAUCCUUCCUUUUUUUCUAUGUGAGCCACCACCACAGCAUGGCCAUUGACAGAUGAGUGGUGUAUGUCCAUGCCUGGGAACUGAAUUUAACCGCUAGGCCAUGGUGGCUGGCUCUACUUUUUUUUAUUGAAGCAUACUUGACAUACAAUAUUAUACUAGUUUCACGUGCACAACAUACUGAUUCGACAUUUAUGUAUGUUAUAAAGUGAUGACCAUGAUAAGUCUAGUUACCAUCUGUCACCACACAAAGUAAUUACAGUAUUAUUGACUAUAUUCCCUUUGCUGUACAUUACAUCCCCAUGACGUAUUUAUUUUAUAACUGGAAGUUUGUGCCUCUUAAUCUCCUUCACCUGUUUUGCCCAUCACCCACCUUCUUCCCUCUGGCAACCACCAGGAGGUUCUUUGUAUUUAUGAGUUUCUGUUUUGUCUUGUUUAUGUCUUUUAUUUUUUAGAUCCCACAUAUAAGUGCAACCAUAUGGUAUUGGUCUUUCUCUGUCUGACUUAUUUCACUUAGCAUAAUACCCUCUAGGUCCAUCCAUGUUGUUUCAAAUGGCAAGAUUUCGUUAUUUUUCAUGGCGGAGUAAUAUUCCAUCGUGUAUAUGUACCACAUCUUCUUUAUCCAGUCAUCUAUCCAUGGACACCUUGCUUGCUUCCAUAUCUUGGCUAUUGUAAAUAAUGCUCUGAAGAAUGAGGAAAGGCUCAAGGCAGAGCGAUGUUGCCCCUGAAACAGAACACGCUGAUGAGGGCUUUCAUUUUAGAGAUCAGGGCUUGGUAGAGAGGACAGACUGGGAGCUGGAGUGAAAAGAUCCUAACUCUGGACCCCACCUCUGCCACUUCCCACCUCAUGAUAGGGGACCAAAAACAUCCCUCCGGAUGUGUCUCAGCCUUGUAGUCACAGAAUGGGGAUGCAGCAAAUACUUCAGAAUAGUUGAAGCAGAGAGAACAAGCAGGCAUCACAAGACUUUAAAACAUGUGCCCGUGUGUCUUAACUGCUCCUCCUCUUGGUCCGGGCAGCAUCCACUCCCUGCCUUCAGGGCCAGGUUGUUCUAGCCGAGAUGCAAAGAGAAACCAGCCAGUGUCUUUGGAGAGGAUUGGAAGGCCAAGUCCUGGCAUAAAAGUGGGUUUGGAGGAAGACUUGCUCGAGCAUCCCUGUUCCUACUUCCACACCUGCACCUCGGAGAGGGAGGUGUUCCCAGGGAAAGGCCAGCAUCUAGGCUGGGAAGAAAGCAACACAGCAGGACUGUGCAGAGUGCCUCUGAAGCCCACGCUGGCUCAGAGGGGCCCAGACAAGCUGCGAGGCCCAAGAACUUGCUCAUGCGCCUGUAAAGGAAGGCGGCCAAAGGCAAAGCUGUCACAGGGCUGAAAUGGGCCCAGAGGACCUGCAGCCUCCUGGGGGUUCAGGAGAGAGAAGCUGAGAUGACACACACACAAGUGGCUGGGAGAAGUCCCACAGGCCCCAAAACUUGUCAGGGUUAGGAUCCAAGGAGACUAGCUCUCAAGACCACCACUCUCCCACAAUCACCCCCUCCCCCUCAAUGUCUGUUAAGGUCCCCAGAUCUUAGAUGCAACUCCCUGGGGAAAGAAUAAAUUUGCCAACUCCCAAGCAUGCUAAGAAAACUGAGAUUGGCUGAAUUAUCUUGAAUUGAUUAAGUUUCUACUAUUGGAUGAAAUGUGAACCCUGAAUAGAAAUUGAGUCAUAGAAGGUAUUUCAUCUACAGUGGGGUUUGUGACUUGAGAAGUCCAUACCCAAUUGGAGAACCUAGCCAGUGCCAGGUAGAUAAUAAGAACUCAAAAACAAUAGCCAUUAUCACCCCAGAGCCCCAGUGUUAACUAAAUAUCAUUUGGAAGGACUGUCUUUCCUGAUCCCACUCUAAUUUCCCUUAAAACAAACAAGCCUUCCUUUUCCACAGCCUUUUUUAUUCUCCCUCACAAUUCCCCCUUCUCAAUGAAAAAAAAAAAUACAAAGCACAAAUCCCUGUGUAUUCCUAUCUCCUUCCUUUGGCCUCUGUCCAAGGCAACCCUAGGGGUUGAAGGGUAGGAGUUGUUUCAACCACUGUCACUUCCACAUUGUCACCCCACACCCCAUUUGGGACACUAUAGAAGCAGAGCCUACAUUUCCUACAAUGGAGUUGGUCCAUUGGGUCAACCACUGCUGGGAGCCCCCACACCAUUAACUCAGAGACAGAGAUCCCGUGCCAGGCUGGGCUCAUGGCCAGUUUUUGAAUGAGACCCUAAAGUCAUCCUCCCCCGCAGCCAUCAGAGGCCCAGGAGCUGUACUUCCUGUACCUCUGACACCUCCUACACUCAAAGGAGCACCCAGCAGCCCAGGGUUGAGGGGAGAAUGGGG